UACGUAGGGUGCGAGCGUUAAUCGGAAUUACUGGGCGUAAAGUGUGCGCAGGCGGCCGAGCAAGUCGAGCGUGAAAGCCCCGAGCUUAACUUGGGAACUGCGCUCGAAACUACUUGGCUAGAGUGUGGCAGAGGGAGGUGGAAUUCCACGUGUAGCGGUGAAAUGCGUAGAGAUGUGGAGGAACACCGAUGGCGAAGGCAGCCUCCUGGGCCAACACUGACGCUCAUGCACGAAAGCGUGGGGAGCAAACAGG
rnacentral:rRNA from 1 species